GCCCGGGUGGCUCAGUCGGUUGAGUGUCUGACUUCGGCUCAGGUCAUGGUCUUGCGGUCUGUGGGUUUGAGCCCCGUGUCAGGCU
rfam:Felis catus isolate Cinnamon breed Abyssinian chromosome B1, whole genome shotgun sequence.